rnacentral:rRNA from 1 species
CCCUUAUAGGCCAGGGCUUCACACGUAAUACAAUGGUCGGUACAGAGGGUUGCCAACCCGCGAGGUGGAGCCAAUCCCAGAAAGCCGAUCGUAGUCCGGAUUGCAGUCUGCAACUCGACUGCAUGAAGUCGGAAUCGCUAGUAAUCGCGGAUCAGCAUGUCGCGGUGAAUACGUUCCCGGGCCUUGUACACACCGCCCGUCACCAUGGGAGUGGGUUUCACCAGAAGUAGGUAGCCUAACCGUAAGGGGGGCGCUUACCACGGUGGCAUUCAUGACUGGGGUGAAGUCGUAACAAGGUAGCCGUAA